UGUCCUGGAGGUCCAAUAUGAAGAAGAACUACAAUUUUCUUCUUUGCCUGAGGCCCUUGUAGCAGAACAGCUGACCUACAUGGACUCUAAAUUGUUCCAGAAAGUUGUUUCCCAGCAUUGUUUGGGGAGCAUUUGGUCACGCAGGGACAGGGAUGAAAACAAAGAGCUGGUGCUUAGCAUCAGAGCCACCAUCACUCAGUUCAACGCCGUUUGCAAUUGCGUUGUGAGCACCAUCGUGAAGAAUAAGGACCUAAAGACACAUCAGAGAGCCAGGAUCAUGGAGAGAUGGAUCCAUAUUGCCCAUGUAAAGCUUUUAUUUUGUAUUCUUCAGUGUUUCUGGUGUGGGAGGUGGAGGGAAUAAAAGGGUUGUGUGCAUUGG